rnacentral:tRNA from 1 species
GGGGAAGUGGCGGAAUCGGUAGACGCAGACGCCUCAAAAGCGUCCGGGGGUGACUCCGUGUGGGUUCGAGUCCCACCUUCCCCACCA